GCGGCUAUGGUCCAGUGGUAAGAUGUAGGCUUCCCAAGCCUAAGUUGCGGGUUCGAUUCCCGCUAGCCGCA
rnacentral:tRNA from 1 species